rnacentral:rRNA from 1 species
AAACUCAAAGGAAUUGACGGGGCCCGCACAAGCGGUGGAGCAUGUGGUUUAAUUCGACGCAACGCGAAGAACCUUACCAGGGCUUGACAUCCCCUGACCGCGUAUGAAAGUACGUUUUCACCCUCGGGUGACAGGGAGACAGGUGGUGCAUGGUUGUCGUCAGCUCGUGUCGUGAGAUGUUGGGUUAAGUCCCGCAACGAGCGCAACCCCUAUUGUUAGUUGCCAUCAUUCAGUUGGGCACUCUAGCGAGACUGCCGGUAAUAAACCGGAGGAAGGUGGGGAUGACGUCAAACCAUCAUGCCCCUUAUGACCUGGACUACACACGUGCUACAAUGGUUGGUACAACGAGUUGCGAGUCGGUGACGGCGAGCUAAUCUCUUAAAGCCAAUCUCAGUUCGGAUUGUAGGCUGCAACUCGCCUACAUGAAGUCGGAAUCGCUAGUAAUCGCGGAUCAGCACGCCGCGGUGAAUACGUUCCCGGGCCUU